ACCCCUGGAAGUGAGGUUUCCUUCCUCCUUUCUAAUGUCUUUCCCACUCAUUCAGGCUGUUAUUUUCUUAAUCUCUGUGUCAAUGCCAGUUUGGAUCAGUGAAAUCUUGAGUCAUUAGCAUUCCUCCUCUCAAAGAAUGACUCAGGCUAAAUAAACUGGCAACAGUACAUGUCAGGGCCCUCUUCGCCUCUUGGUUCCGGCCCUGCAUUGUUCGUCCAGGAAUGAAAUUCCAACCCACAGCAUUCCUUAAAAGCAAACUUUAAAUUUGGUGUCUGUUAGGUAUUUCAACAAAUUGUUUGGUAGUGUAAUAGGUCAAUGCUGGAAUGGAACCCAGUACAGACUUGCAGUGCAUGUCAGAGUGACAUAAUUGCAUAAUGAACAUGAUCAGAUACAAAAGGAUUGGAAAGGUAAAACCUGAGGGGGAAGGCAUCAUGUUAUUUAAAACUGCUUUUUGGUUUCUUUCUUCCAUCAAUCGCCAUCAACCUUUCCUUUGGAAAGGUUUUUACAGUAUCUGGUGAAAUAAAAUAAUACAUGGAACUUGAAUAUCUGCACAGAGGUUGGUUAUUGGCAAACCUCCCACCCCAAGGAAAUGUCAUCCAGCUUCUCCAGAUACCAAGGCCCUUUCUCUGUCACCUUUAUGUAGCUUGAAAUACUUUGAGGUGUGGGGUGGGGAGAGCCAUUGAGAAGUAGGCAAGGGAAGAAACCUUCCUGUUGUUGAUGCAAUCCAAAGAGAUUGUGCUCCAGUCUUUUCCUUUAUUUACCCCUUAUUCUAGAUGGGAAGAGAUGAGGAACCUGUGUUUGUCAACAGCCCAUCAGGGGAAGCGAUUAGCUCUUUCGCCCGCCAGCUUUGAAAAUGGACCAUAGUAGAACUAACUAGCUGUCGAGUAGCAUUCUUAAAAAAUACCAGGUAUAUUCAGAACAAAAUAAUGGUCCAACUCCCAUCUUGUAUUUGUUGGUGCUACUGCUAGCAGGUCCGCGAGAGAGGAGGUGUAGAACAGAACAAAGCAUAAACCAGAUGGGAUCUGGCUGGCAUGGCAAGAGUCUACUUCUGACAGAGCUGUAUAUAUGGCUUCAGCCCUAUAAAUACCAUUUUUCUACUCUAUGUUCCUAUGUUUACUAAUCCCACCUGUAUGCCAUGUUCAGGUUGAAAGAUCAUGUACACACAGUUGUUUUUGGUGGCUACUGCAGUGCAAAAUCAUUUAAGCUGGAAGUUUGCAAAAGCUCAAAGAUCCACUGGUACUGCCAUUUGGUGGUUAAGUUUAAGUAGUCGGGUAUUAUUUUAAGUUACUAUAUUGCACUUCUUUGUAGUUUAAUUGUUAUUGCUAAUAUUAUAUCACUUGCAUUAGACUUUUGGGACGGGGAAGACAGAAGUUAAAACCGGUGCAUAAUUAAAUACAGUUUUGUGACUUUCUGAAUUUGAGGCUUGAAAAUCCAUAUGAGAUUACAGUCUGACAUCCCAAAUAGAUUUUGUGAAACCCCAAUAGACACAGUGAUCUCAUUAGUGAUGGUAAUACUCGUUCGUACGAAAGGAAGUUAAUACAAAAUGAAAUAAAUGGUUCUUCAAUUCAUCUAUCAGGUCCUGUCAAUUAUUGACGCCCACUGCAUGCCAGCUGUCAGAUACUAUCAAAUGUUGAUUGCUACAUGUCUGAUACUGUCAAAUGUUGUUGUUUACUGCAUGUUGGCUGUCAGAUACUGUCGAAUCUUGAUUACUAAUGUACGUCAGCUGUCAAAGGUUAUCAAAUACUGACUUCUACAUGCCAGAGACUGUCCAGUACUGAAUCCUUUUACAUCCCAGCUAUCAAAUGCUGGCUGUUUUCUUCUAGAAAGUAUACUGUACUAAAAGCCACUGCAUUCUGCCUGUCAGGGCAAUGUCAAUUACCGACUGCCACUGCAUCUUCUGAUGUCAAAUGCUUGACAAAAAACAUUCAAUGAAUACUCAAAUCUCAAAUAUUCACACUUCAGGAGCAUGUUCUUUGGCACAGUUUUGUGGAGCAGAUUGUUUCAGCUAUAGCCCCAUGUUGUACAGGGAGCCUGAAAAGGCGAACCUGCAAACUUUAAGACAAAAACUCCUCCUAUCCACACACAUUGCUUUGGCCUCCAAAAAUCUGUACCAAGCAAACCUGGCUCUGGAUAUAAUCCUGUACUGAGCCACAUGUUCUCUUCUUUCUCUUUUCCUUGUCCUGCUACUUGGCUAUAAAUUAGCUCCUGAACUUUAGACGGAGUUGCUAACAGCAAAAAAGCAAGUUGCAACACUCAAAUGGGCUCCAUUUCCAGUUCUUUGCCCUAACUUGAUGAGAUGAGUGAUGCUGGGUCUUCAUUGUCAUGGUUUGAGUCUUUAUACCAAGGUGUGGCUCCUACGUCUGCCUAAACUUGCUCUGGGGAAGUCUAUAUUGCUACAACUUCAGUACCACCUCUGCAUUCUGGGUUUUUUUGCUUUAAAGGGAGUGGCGGACCAAGAACGGGGGGUGGGGGGGAGGAAGAAGAGGAGCAUACCAACAAAACAAGGAAAAGCAAAUAGCAUUAGGAAACAGCAGGCAGUAUUUUACAUUUCAUGGCUGAAAGCUAGAUAUAGAUCUGAAGCCCGAUUAUUGUGUCAUAUAUUAAAACGACAGCCUCUGCCAACCAUUUAUCACAUUCUUAUCACAUGUUUUUUCUUAAUUAUCCCAUAUGAUAAGCAUUUUGCAGACAAGUGUUAGAGGCAAAGGGUAUAUGACUAUAUAUCUCACGUUAUUUUUAUGUUGCUCUCUCAAGUGGCUUAAGUAUAUUCACGUUGGAUAUGAAUGAGAUCAUGUUUAAAUACAUGCCCUUGGGCAUAUCCUGUCUCCAGCAGGUAAGGGUAAGGAAAGCGAGUGAGAUCAGAUACUGUGGAACACAAGGAGUCAUCAUGCCAGUGAGUGCAAUACAGGGAUGGGUUUUUUGCCAUAGCAACAUUUCCAUGGUCUUGUAAACUUAGGAAACCCUGGAUCUUGCCUCCGGGACUCUAGCAGAAGGACCUGCAUGCCAGGAGAGGGAGUUGCUGCCCUACCUCUGCUGUGGUUCAGUGCUACCACUGCAGAUGGCCAAAGAGGAGUAUUGCACCUACCAGCUUAGAGUAGGUCAAGUAACACUGACUGCCGUUGACUCUGGUCUGACUCCCCUUUAUGAGCAUCUUUCCCCUUGGAUACAGACUAAAUUGGUCUUGGACUGCCCAUCCCAGUUUACCUACUUGCCUCCAGGCCACCAGCCCUGAUACAUAGGAAUAUUUGUUUGUGUGUUAGGGUACCUGAAUGUGCCUGGUUCAUUUGUGCGAUGGUUAUAAUGUAAUAGUCUUCUUCUGUGUGCAAACGUCACUGCAAUUGCAUUUGAUGAAAAUAAUUCAGUGUGUGUGACAGGUAACUGACAGAUUGAAGGGAACGUGACGGUUGUGUUGUGGUAUCUGUGAUGAAAAAAUAUGCUCCUGGAAAUACCAUAGGGAAACCAAUGUAUUUUUCAAGCUGUAUGAAAUAUUCUAAAACUCUUAAAUGAGCAUAGAAAGGCGUAUGUUUUCUCCAGUGCCACGCUGUUCUCCAGUGCCACUGGUGGCUGUUUUUAAUGUGGUUGAAGUCCUGCCAUGUGGUUUUUGUCCUGCUAAAUAUUCCCAAUCUAGACCACUACAUUUCAAAACUUCUACCUUCAGGUAAACCUUUCCACAUCAGUUUUUCUGUGGGCACUAGCACAAAGGGGCUUCCAUGGGCAGCAAAAAAAAGGAGUACCACUGGUGAGUAUGGUCACACAAAAAAACCCUUAGGUCUGUCUAUCUACAUAUUGAAAGUACUAUUUAGAAUCAUAGCUGUCAACUUACAGAUUUGAAAAUAAGGGACCAGCAGCCUUGAAAAUAAGGGACCUGCAGCCUCACCUGUUCCAGGCACUCCAGUCUUCCUGUCCUCCUGCAGGCUGGUCAAACUCAUGCUGGUAGCUUCGAGAACACUAUCCAACCAACUUUGUAACCAGAGGUUCAACUGAAUAGAAUCUGAAUCACAUGCACCACAAGGCCUAUGCAGCCUCAACUUAAGAUGGCUCCCCGGCCUGGCUUUGCACUGCAAAGUUUGCAGCAGCACGUGCAACAAAAUGGCGUCCAGCAUUCAAAAAACCCCUCAGCUUGCAUUAACUAGCCACACACAAGGCAUGCAAGCUCCACCUCCCAGUCGUUCUUAGACUUCUUAUUGGGUGAGCAACACAGCCAAGCAACACAGUUGGAGCCUCCCUCCUCCCUGGCCGGCAGGGAAGGAGAGGAGCUGCUUCCUUUGAAAUUUAAGGGACAUCAUUUAAGGGACAUUUAAGGGACAUCCAUCAAUAAGGGACAGCAGCGGGACAUGGCACUGGAAUAAGGGACUGUCCCUUCAAAUAAGGGACACUUGACAGCUAUGUUUAGAAUGUGUCCAAUACCCUUUUGCAGCUAGUCAGUGCAAGAGGAGAUUGAUAACAGUAGACAGACUAUCUUUUAGGCAUUUCAUCUGCCCCUGCCAAUCUUUUCAUUGAGGGAACCCUAGAGUUCCUAGAAACAACACUGGAUUAGGGUAACUACUUUGAGCUCAUCCAAGAAAAUAACAGUGAAAUCCUAUACAUGAAGACUCGGAUGUAAGACCCAUGGAGUUGUAUGGGGUAAGUGGGUAUAUGUUUUCAGCUUAAGUCACACACUGAGGCUCUCAUUUCAGUGUCAGCUUUAUACAAGUUUGGAACAUUCUGGAGAUGUUUAACAUCCAACGUUAACAAAAACCAACUUUCAUAUUUAUGUUUUAAGUCAUGCAGCUUGGUACUGAGGUUUUAAUCAACCAAGGUUUACCCAGUGUAGACCCUCUGAAAUUAACGGACCUAACCUGGUCAUGUUCAUUAAUUUCAAUGAUUCAUCUUUUGAGUAAAAUUUAGUUGAAUACCACCCACAGAUUCAAGAUGCAGUUUUUAAAUUCACAGGGGAUGAAUAUCCACUAUACGCAACUCUUAAAGUUGCUGUAUUUAUGCAUGUUUAAUACUUAAAUAUGCAUGCACAGAAGAGCAAUGUCUCCACAUUUU
rnacentral:lncRNA from 1 species